rnacentral:lncRNA from 1 species
AAAACAAACUAACACACAGAAAAUCCAGCUUUUUUCAUAUAAAUAGAAUGAGAAGGGGUAACCAGAAAUCAUAACUGAAAGGAUCAAAGUACUCUUGUCAGCAUUUAAAACUCUAUCUAGAACAAGAAUCAUAAAAAUAAAGAGCAAAUGAUAAAACGGAACCGAAAACAAUUACAUAUUUCUGACACAGGCAAAAGCCAAGAAGACUGCAUUUAAAAUUGAUGAAGGACCAAGGCUUGCUAACACACAUUACAGAAUUCUCUGUAUGUCCAUCACAUGAUAAUGCACCUCAAAGCCUCAGUUUAUGCCUGAAACAAUAAUGGUGACUGUCAUAAAUGAGAUGAUGCCAGUUUUGUACAGUCAUGAAUGAUGGCAGUUUCCUACA